rnacentral:rRNA from 1 species
AGUGAACGCUGGCGGCAGGCCUAACACAUGCAAGUCGAACGGCAGCACAAGAGCUCUUGCUCUCUGGGUGGCGAGUGGCGGGCGGGUGAGGAAUGCAUCGGAAUCUGCCCAUUUGUGGGGGAUAACCUCGGGAAACCGGGACUAAUACCUCAUACGACCUACGGGUGAAAGCCGGGGAUCUUCGGACCUUGCGCAGAUGGAUGAGCCGAUGCCGGAUUAGCUAGUUGGAGGGGUAAAGGCCCACCAAGGCGACGAUCCGUAGCUGGUCUGAGAGGAUGAUCAGCCACACUGGGACUGAGACACGGCCCAGACUCCUACGGGAGGCAGCAGUGGGGAAUAUUGGACAAUGGGCGCAAGCCUGAUCCAGCCAUGCCGCGUGUGUGAAGAAGGCCUUCGGGUUGUAAAGCACUUUUGUUGGGAAAGAAAAGCAGCCGGUUAAUACCCGGUUGUCAUGACGGUACCCAAAGAAUAAGCACCGGCUAACUUCGUG